AUGUUUACUGGAAGAAGCCCAAUAGAUGAAACAUUUGGGGAUUCACUGGAUCUGCAUAAAUUUGUCGAGGAUGCUCUUCCGGAUAGAACCUUGGAGAUAGCUGACCCAACAAUCUGGCUGCAUGGAGAACCAAAGGAUGAUAUGACAAGUAGUAGAAUCCAGGAGUGCUUGGUUUCUGUCUUCAGGCUUGGCGUAUCCUGCUCAAAGACACAGCCCCGAGAGCGGAUGUUGAUAAGAAAUGCAGCGGUAGAGAUGCAUGCUGUUACGGCCGUAGAGGCCCACCGGGCAAUCUUAGCCCACAAGUUAUCUUAG
rnacentral:rRNA from 1 species